AGUGAACGCUGGCGGCGUGCUUAACACAUGCAAGUCGAACGAGAACGGGUUAUAGCUUGCUAUAAUUGUCAGCUAAGUGGCGCACGGGUGAGUAAUGUAUAGGUAAUAUGCCUCUUACUAAGGGAUAACAAUUGGAAACGAUUGCUCAUACCUUAUACUCCUUGUUAACAGAAGCUACUAAGGAAAAGAUUUAUUGGUAAGAGAUUAGCCUGUAUUGUAUCAGUUAGUUGGUGGGGUAAUGGCUUACCAAGACUAUGACACAUAACUGGUUUGAGAGGAUGAUCAGUCACACUGGAACUGAGACACGGUCCAGACUCCUACGGGAGGCAGCAGUGGGGAAUAUUGCACAAUGGACGAAAGUCUGAUGCAGCAACGCCGCGUGGAGGAUGACACAUUUCGGUGCGUAAACGCCUUUUAUAUGAGAAGAUAAUGACGGUAUUAUAUGAAUAAGCACCGGCUAACUCCGUGCCAGCAGCCGCAGUAAUAC
rnacentral:rRNA from 1 species